UUAGCUUCCUAAAGGGAAGAGGGAAAUGGAGAAGGAUAAAAAGGACAAAAAAAAGGAUGAAAAGGGACAGAAGCAAAAGAGGUAUGCACAAUCUAAAAAUCUGGUAACCAGCAAAAUAAAGAACUGGCAAAAUCUCACCACUUUCCUUGAGAGAAGCGGGACGGCUGGACGCUGCCCAGCGCUCUCCCCUCACGUGUGGCAGACAACAGCAGUCACUGCAGGCCUCAGCUCCACAUAAGCAAGACCGAGACAGGGACCCACCGUUCUUGAACCUCACCGGAAAGGAAGAGAGCGAGCUCUCUUAUCUACACCUUAUUUAUACCUCAGUGUUAUUCACAAUUGCUAUAAUUUAAAAUUAGCCUCCAAUAAAAAGUGGGAAGCAUGAUUUUCUGUUAGAAAGAAAAUUUUCUCUUUCCGUGGAUUUUGUGAAGACAGAAUUACCACGAACCUUGCAAACUUUUUCUUUGAAAAAAAGGAUCUGCAUUUCACUCACUCUGCUGUGAUGCUGUUGGACAUGAGACAUUGUUCUUGGGCUACACUGAAGCUGACCCUAUACAAGUGAUGGGGAGGCAGGAGUUGUCCUCACGACAGUCUGUGUAUGUGGCAAAAAACACUGUGGAUGCAGUGGCCAAAGUUAGUGCAUACAGAGAGAGGAGGUUCCUGGAAUAAAAUGGAUGAAAAAGGAGGUUGGUCCUGGCACUGUUCUGCGCAAUAACCCAAUAGAUGCAUCUUCAAUACAUGUUAUUUUUUAUUUCAGCAUUACAGGCAUAUAUUUUGUAAAUUUUAUUAUGUGUUGCAGUAUGUAUUCAUGGUCAAAGAAUUAAUUUUCUACCUACAUUUUCUUUAUUUUUAUGAUCCUUCAUGAUCAGUUGUUACUGUAGUUAUGUGCUUAUCUUUCCUUAUUUUUUAUUAUUUUUCUUUUAGUAUAAAGGAUUUAUUAGUGCAUUUAUAGAGCAACUUUUCACCUGUCUGAACAGCU